rnacentral:sRNA from 1 species
GGCUGAGCGGCGGGAGGCAGUCCCCGGCAGAGGCGACCCCAGGGAGCCAGGCCGCAUACGGACGGGCCUCUCCGUGGAGGAGAGCUCGCUUCGUAUUUGUACCGGUUCCGAGUUUUCCAGGCACGAUAGUCUCUCUUUUAAACACAUGGUCUACCUCAUUGUAGAAGGAGUGCCUCGAUGGGUUUGAACACGCUUCUGUCAUCUCAGGGAACUUGGCGUCCUGCGAAGGAGCUUGCCUUACUGUUGGGAGUUGCUGGAAGCCAUCAAACGUGACUUUGGUUCCUUUGACAAGUUUAAGGAGAAGCUGACGGCUGCAUCUGUUGGUGUCCAAGGCUCAGGUUGGGGUUGGCUUGGUUUCAAUAAGGAACGGGGACACUUACAAAUUGCUGCUUGUCCGAAUCAGGAUCCACUGCAAGGAACGACAGGCCUUAUUCCACUGCUGGGGAUUGAUGUG